rnacentral:rRNA from 1 species
CUCCAGACUCCUACGGGAGGCAGCAGUGGGGGAUAUUGCACAAUGGGGGGAACCCUGAUGCAGCGACGCCGCGUGAACGAAGAAAUAUUUCGGUAUGUAAAGUUCUAUCAGCAGGGAAGAAAAUGACAGUACCUGACCAAGAAGCCCCGGCUAACUACGUGCCAGCAGCCGCGGUAAUACGUAGGGGGCGAGCGUUAUCCGGAUUCACUGGGUGUAAAGGGAGCGUAGACGGCCAAGCAAGCCAGGGGUGAAAGCCCGGGGCCCAACCCCGGGACUGCCCUUGGAACUGCUUGGCUGGAGUGCGGGAGGGGCAGGCGGAAUUCCUGGUGUAGCGGUGAAAUGCGUAGAUAUUAGGAGGAACACCGGUGGCGAAGGCGGCCUGCUGGACUGUAACUGACGUUGAGGCUCGAAAGCGUG